rnacentral:rRNA from 1 species
GAUGAACGCUGGCGGCGUGCCUAAUACAUGCAAGUCGAGCGAACAGACGAGGAGCUUGCUCCUCUGACGUUAGCGGCGGACGGGUGAGUAACACGUGGAUAACCUACCUAUAAGACUGGGAUAACUUCGGGAAACCGGAGCUAAUACCGGAUAAUAUAUUGAACCGCAUGGUUCAAUAGUGAAAGACGGUUUUGCUGUCACUUAUAGAUGGAUCCGCGCCGCAUUAGCUAGUUGGUAAGGUAACGGCUUACCAAGGCAACGAUGCGUAGCCGACCUGAGAGGGUGAUCGGCCACACUGGAACUGAGACACGGUCCAGACUCACACGGGAGGCAGCAGUAGGGAAUCUUCCGCAAUGGGCGAAAGCCUGACGGAGCAACGCCGCGUGAGUGAUGAAGGUCUUCGGAUCGUAAAACUCUGUUAUUAGGGAAGAACAAAUGUGUAAGUAACUAUGCACGUCUUGACGGUACCUAAUCAGAAAGCCACGGCUAACUACGUG